rnacentral:rRNA from 1 species
GACGAACGCUGGCGGCGUGCUUAACACAUGCAAGUCGAACGGAAAGGCCCUGCUUUUGUGGGGUGCUCGAGUGGCGAACGGGUGAGUAACACGUGAGUAACCUGCCCUUGACUUUGGGAUAACUUCAGGAAACUGGGGCUAAUACCGGAUAGGAGCUCCUGCUGCAUGGUGGGGGUUGGAAAGUUUCGGCGGUUGGGGAUGGACUCGCGGCUUAUCAGCUUGUUGGUGGGGUAGUGGCUUACCAAGGCUUUGACGGGUAGCCGGCCUGAGAGGGUGACCGGCCAAAUUGGGAAUUGGAUACGGGCCCGACUCCUACGGGAGGCAGCAGUGGGGAAUAUUGCACAAUGGGCGGAAGCCUGAUGCAGCAACGCCGCGUGCGGGAUGACGGCCUUCGGGUUGUAAACCGCUUUCGCCUGUGACGAAGCGUGAGUGACGGUAAUGGGUAAAGAAGCACCGGCUAACUACGUG